GAUCCUGGCUCAGAUUGAACGCUGGCGGCAGGCCUAACACAUGCAAGUCGAACGGUAACAGGAAGCAGCUUGCUGCUUCGCUGACGAGUGGCGGACGGGUGAGUAAUGUCUGGGAAACUGCCUGAUGGAGGGGGAUAACUACUGGAAACGGUAGCUAAUACCGCAUAACGUCGCAAGACCAAAGAGGGGGACCUUCGGGCCGUCUUGCCAUCGGAUGUGCCACGAUGGGAUUAGCUAGUAGGG
rnacentral:rRNA from 1 species